CAAGCAUUCGGAGGAUGGAUGAACAGUAAGAGUUCAGAGUGUUUCCCAUCACACUGAAGUUCAGCUUCUACCAGGGCUCUCAUUCUUUUGAAAAACACUUGACUGUGAUCAGUGAUACAAGAGCUGAAAACCACUUUAUGACCACCAUCGAAGGAAAGAGCCCCAUGGGGGAUAAUGUUUGCCAAACAUCGGCAGCAGGAAAGGCGAGUUUGCCCACCAAUGGAGCAGAUAGAUCCCUCUGGCAGAGUACCAGGUGACAAUGAAGAAGUCCUGGUGCUGAACCCAAGAGGACUUCAUGUGGACCAAGAGAACGUGGAUAACUGUGAUCCUGGGAGCCGUUGUGGCAGGUGCUUUGUGACAUCGAAUGAAGUCACUGGGCAACUACUGCUGACGGUAUGCCAACGCCCAUCAGCUCUAGACACUGAAGGAUGGACAAUGAAGUACUGUGAAUAAGGAGAGGGCUGAGGGCCCUUGGAAAGAAACUGACUGUGAUUUGGAAUAAUGGCUGGUGGUCCCCAUCUGAAGGCUUUAAGGUAAUAGUUACAAUGACCCUUAGUCUUUCCCUCCUGCUGUGGACUAAAUUUUUGUGUCUUCCCCCUUCCCUAGAAUUCAUAUGUUGAAAUCCUACCCCUCAAUGUGAUGGUCUUUGGAAUUAGCACCUUAGGGAGGUGAUUAGGUCAUGCAAGUGGAGUCCAUGAAGGGAUUAGUAACCUUAUAAGAUGGAGCCAAGAGCCUCCUCUCUCUGUCUCCCUGUCUCUCUUGUGCCCUCUCUAUCCACCCCACCAUCACCAUGUGAGGACACAGCAAGACAGCCAUCUGAAAACCAAGAAAAGGGCUUUCAUCAGAUACUGGAUCUGCUAUGAACUUGAGCUUAUAUUUCCCAGCCUCCAGAACCAUAAGAAAUAAAUGUUCGUUGUUAAGCUCCCCAGCUACAGUAUCUUGUUAGCAGUCUAAAGGGAUAAAAAUACCUUCCAAGGCUUCCGGAAGUGACUUUGCCAUUUUCAACUCAUGGGAUAGCCUUCAAUAGUGUCACUCAAAGGUGCAUAUGGUAAAACAGUGGAAGUAUUUAUUCUUUUCCAUUUGAACAUUGAAAUAUUGGUGAAAAAUUUUCUGGAAAAAGAGAAAUAAUCCCUGAGCGGGCCCCCAUGAAGAUAAGGAAGGAAGUAAUUUGAGAGGUAAACCAGGACUCACCUCAGAGCACCCCUGAGGUGCUGCCCACAUAUACCAGAGGUGUAGACACAGAGUGCCAGUGUGUCUGGGCACCCUGCAAGACCAUCACUCAGAUCCAAUUCAUGGAUUUCUCUUGGAAAUGAGUUUCAAUGACCCAGAGUGAAGAAGGAGUCCAGGGGCCAAGCCUAUAGUGUGAACCAUUGGAUGAGAAGUUGGAUGGUCUGAUUGGAGAGCUCGCCUGAGAAAAGUAUGGGAGCCUCCCCUUCUAUGGCAAACUGAGUAGUAGGAGUCAAUCAAUCUGAUCUAUCCAACUAGAAAAGCUGCAUAAAACAUAAGAAAUAUCUGCUAAAAGACAUCAGAUUAGCAACAGGAUUACAAAGAAUGACAACAUGUGGGGCCAUUUUUAGUCCAGGAGUGACUACCAAUUCCACAAGAAUGGAAACAUCAGAGUUUGGGACCCAUCAAGAAUAAAAGGACUAGUGGGAGUGAGAUACUCUUUGCUUUGAGAGAUCAAAGGAUUGCCUUCUAGGAGAAGCAAGGAAAUUAGCCUUUAUAGGGACUAGAGCCUGGCUUCAGUCCUGAGAGUGGCCCAGGAGACCUCAAUUCCUGAAUUGUAUGAAAGGGAUCUUGACGGCCAUGAACAUGCCAGAAACAAUCGGAAAUUAUCUGUAAAAAGACAAUAACAUUACCCCAUCCUUCAAACUUUUUCUACAAAAAAAAGCUUUGCACAUAUAAUAUCUGACUCACAAUAAAAGAUAACCAAGCAGUCAAGAACACAAACCAACACAAAUAAAAACUAGCAGAAACACUGAGCAAUUGAAACAGGCCCACACAAGUUCCAGAUUUUGAAGAUACCAUUCACAGAUUCUUAAUUAGCUAUGUUUACUACUUUCAGGGAGAUAAAAGACAAGAUUAAGAUUUUGGUGCAUUUGAAGCUGUUUUUUAUAGCAUAAAUGAAAGAAGCCAGAUUCAAAGGUCUAUAUAUUGUGUGACUCCAUUCAUAUGACAUUCUGCCAAAGGCAGAAAACACAUCAGCAAUUGCUUGGGUUGGGGAUCAGGAAGUGGCUGACCUCAAAGGGGAACUUUUAGGGCUAUGGAACUGUCUGCCUGGUACUGGGGUGGUGGAUACAAGACUCUGCAUUGAUCAAAACUAGAACUAUACAUCACAGACUGCACUAUACAGUAUGCAAACUUUGAGCAUGUGAAGGAGUUGGGGGGACCCCAGCAUGGAAUAUAGACUGUGACCACAGACUCUGACCAUAUCACAAAUGUAUGAUGUGGCCUCUGGGAAGGAGGUGGACAAAAGCAGCUGACCUAAGUAACUUGGGAAAAUGGUGUUUUGACUGGAAACUGAAAGACUGCAAACAUAAGCAACUAUACUUAAACACUGCUCUAGUUUCUCACGAGAUAGACAAUUAUGAAACUGCUUCACGUGUUUGCUGGGAUUGAACAAACAGGUGGCCACAUGGCGGAUGGUGGGAGCCAGCGUCUCACUGCUGGAGAGAGAGGUAAUAGAUCACAGUGGCAGGGGGCAGGAAUGAGUCCUUCCUCAGGGGCUGCCCCAGAACCUGAGACAUCACUGUGAUGUGAACACGGGCUUAGUUCAGUGUGCAGGGACAAGUGGAGAAAUGACUAAAAGCAUAUGUGUGUAAAUGAGCUGGGACAAACAUGUUUCCUGGCUCUGUCUGCUGGGAGGGGCCAGGAGCAGCAGUACUCCAGGAGCAUGGAGCAUACCCCGCACCCGUUUCUUGGUUUCUAAAUACCAUAUUCAUGGGACACCUGGGUGGUUCAGCGGUUGAGUGUCUGCCUUUGGCUCAGGGCAUGAUUCCUGAGUCCCAGGAUCAAGUCCGACAUUGAGCUCCCCACGGGAAGCUUGCUUCUCCCUCUGCCUAUGUCUCUGCCUCUUUCUCUGUGUUUCUCAUGAAAAAAUAAAAUCUUUUAAAAAUGUAAAUAAAUAAAUAAAUAAAUAAAUAAAUAAAUAAAUAAAUACCAUAUUCCAACAAAAGGAAUCAGGGCUUCUAGGGAAAUGGCUGAUUCUAGGGUGUAGUAGCUGGAAGCAGCAGUGGCCUGGACUAUGGCAUCUCUGGUUCUGGGAAGCAAGCCAGGAUGAGAGAUGGAGGUACACAUCCAUCUGCUUCUCUCAGCCUGUGGCAUGGAAGGCUGAAGAGAGCAGGUGGCUAGAGGAGAGUCAGCUACCCAAGAAUGAGAACUCUCUUUGCCACCAGGAUACAGAGGUGAAUGUCCUUUACCACAUUUCUAUGAGUGAGGUUGUACAUACAUCCCCCACAGUAAGUGCUUAAGAGACAGUGGGUAGAAAUACACAUUUCUUAGUUGGUGGCCAAGAACUUUUCUCCUUUAUUGCACACUUACUAGUAUAUAUUACUAUACUAACACUGAGUUUAAUAGUUGUUGUGGAUAGUACAGAAAAAGGAUUUCUGUAAUUAAAAAGGAAUUCCAUAAAAUGUUAGUGUAUGAGUCCAUAAAG
rnacentral:lncRNA from 1 species